rnacentral:rRNA from 1 species
GGAGAGCACUCCUACGGGAGGCAGCAGUGGGGAAUAUUGCACAAUGGGCGCAAGCCUGAUGCAGCCAUGCCGCGUGUAUGAAGAAGGCCUUCGGGUUGUAAAGUACUUUCAGCAGUGAGGAAGGUGGGUAUGUUAAUAGCAUAUUCAUUUGACGUUAGCUGCAGAAGAAGCACCGGCUAACUCCGUGCCAGCAGCCGCGGUAAUACGGAGGGUGCGAGCGUUAAUCGGAAUUACUGGGCGUAAAGCGCAUGCAGGUGGUUUGUUAAGUCAGAUGUGAAAGCCCGGGGCUCAACCUCGGAAUUGCAUUUGAAACUGGCAAACUAGAGUACUGUAGAGGGGGUAGAAUUUCAGGUGUAGCGGUGAAAUGCGUAGAGAUCUGAAGGAAUACCGGUGGCGAAGGCGGCCCCCUGGACAGAUACUGACACUCAGAUGCGAAAGCGUGGGGAGCAAACAGGAUUAGAUACCCUGGUAG